rnacentral:rRNA from 1 species
UACGAAGGGGGCUAGCGUUGCUCGGAAUCACUGGGCGUAAAGGGUGCGUAGGCGGGUCUUUAAGUCAGGGGUGAAAUCCUGGAGCUCAACUCCAGAACUGCCUUUGAUACUGAGGAUCUUGAGUUCGGGAGAGGUGAGUGGAACUGCGAGUGUAGAGGUGAAAUUGUAGAUAUUCGCAAGAACACCAGUGGCGAAGGCGACUUACUGGA